rnacentral:misc_RNA from 1 species
UAUUCUCAACCGUGUCUUCUUUUUGAGGCAUGGCUUGGAGGUUGGGGGUUGCUGGCUCUUGUCAGCUCCCCUGAAAUACAUUAGCGAUGGACAUGCAUAAUGCCUUCCGACGUGAUAAUGAUCGUCGUGGGCUGGAGCAACCGAUCCCUAGACAUCUUAGUUACUAGUCUACUCGACGUAACACAAGGCUUCUUGGGCAAGGCCGUCCGCUCGCUUCGAAAUCCCAGAUGGGCCUUAGCUACUAGUCUGCACGACGAACGCAAGGGCAUCACUUUGAAA